rnacentral:rRNA from 1 species
AGUCGAGCGGACUUGAUGGAGUGCUUGCACUCCUGAUGGUUAGCGGCGGACGGGUGAGUAACACGUAGGUAACCUGCCCAUAAGACUGGGAUAACCCACGGAAACGUGAGCUAAUACCAGAUAGGCAUUUUCCUCGCAUGAGGGGAAUGAGAAAGGCGGAGCAAUCUGUCACUUAUGGAUGGACCUGCGGCGCAUUAGCUAGUUGGUGAGGUAACGGCUCACCAAGGCGACGAUGCGUAGCCGACCUGAGAGGGUGAUCGGCCACACUGGGACUGAGACACGGCCCAGACUCCUACGGGAGGCAGCAGUAGGGAAUCUUCCGCAAUGGACGAAAGUCUGACGGAGCAACGCCGCGUGAGUGAUGAAGGUUUUCGGAUCGUAAAGCUCUGUUGCCAGGGAAGAACGCCUAGGAGAGUAACUGCUCUUAGGGUGACGGUACCUGAGAAGAAAGCCCCGGCUAACUACGUGCCAGCAGCCGCGGUAAUACGUAGGGGGCGAGCGUUGUCCGGAAUUAUUGGGCGUAAAGCGCGCGCAGGCGGCAAUGUAAGUUGGGUGUUUAAACCUAGGGCUCAACCUUGGGUCGCAUCCAAAACUGCAUAGCUUGAGUACAGAAGAGGAAAGUGGAAUUCCACGUGUAGCGGUGAAAUGCGUAGAGAUGUGGAGGAACACCAGUGGCGAAGGCGACUUUCUGGGCUGUAACUGACGCUG